rnacentral:rRNA from 1 species
AUUCCAGCUCCAAUAGCGUAUAUUAAAGUUGUUGCAGUUAAAAAGCUCGUAGUUGGAUUUCUGGCAGGAGCGACCGGUCACACACUCUGUGUGUGAACUUGUGUUGUCUCUGGCCAUCCUUGGGAAGAUCCUGUUUGGCAUUAAGUUGUCGGGCAGGGGAUACCCAUCGUUUACUGUGAAAAAAUUAGAGUGUUUAAAGCAGGCUUAUGCCGUUGAAUAUAUUAGCAUGGAAUAAUAAGAUAGGACUUCGGAACUAUUUUGUUGGUUUGCGUUACGAAGUAAUGAUUAAUAGGGACAGUUGGGGGUAUUCGUAUUUCGUUGUCAGGGGUGAAAUUCUUGGAUUUCCGAAAGACGAACUACUGCGAAAGCAUUUACCAAGGAUGUUUUCAUUA